GACGAACGCUGGCGGCGUGCCUAAUACAUGCAAGUAGAACGCACAGUUUAUACCGUAGCUUGCUACACCAUAGACUGUGAGUUGCGAACGGGUGAGUAACGCGUAGGUAACCUGCCUGGUAGCGGGGGAUAACUAUUGGAAACGAUAGCUAAUACCGCAUAAUAUUGAUUAUUGCAUGAUAAUUAAUUGAAAGGUGCAAUUGCACCACUACCAGAUGGACCUGCGUUGUAUUAGCUAGUAGGUGAGGUAACGGCUCACCUAGGCGACGAGACAUAGCCGACCUGAGAGGGUGAUCGGCCACACUGGGACUGAGACACGGCCCAGACUCCUACGGGAGGCAGCAGUAGGGAAUCUUCGGCAAUGGACGAAAGUCUGACCGAGCAACGCCGCGUGAGUGAAGAAGGGUUUCGGAUCGUAAAGCUCGGUUGUAAGAGAAGAACGGGUGUGAGAGUGGAAAGUUCACACUGUGACGGUAUCUUACCAGAAAGGGACGGCUAACUACGUG
rnacentral:rRNA from 1 species